AACGAACGCUGGCGGCAGGCUUAACACAUGCAAGUCGAGCGAGACCUUCGGGUCUAGCGGCGGACGGGUGAGUAACGCGUGGGAACGUGCCCUUCUCUACGGAAUAGCCCCGGGAAACUGGGAGUAAUACCGUAUACGCCCUUUGGGGGAAAGAUUUAUCGGAGAAGGAUCGGCCCGCGUUGGAUUAGGUAGUUGGUGGGGUAAUGGCCCACCAAGCCGACGAUCCAUAGCUGGUUUGAGAGGAUGAUCAGCCACACUGGGACUGAGACACGGCCCAGACUCCACGGGAGGCAGCAGUGGGGAAUCUUAGACAAUGGGGGCAACCCUGAUCUAGCCAUGCUGCGUGAGUGAUGAAGGCCUUAGGGUUGUAAAGCUCUUUCAGCUGGGAAGAUAAUGACGGUACCAGCAGAAGAAGCCCCGGCUAACUCCGUG
rnacentral:rRNA from 1 species